AGAUAAUAGAUACCCCGGUAGUCCGCACAGUAAACGAUGAUAACUAGUUGUUUGCGAUAUACAGUAAAGCGACCAAAGCGAAAAAGCGAUAAGUUAUCCACCUGGGGAGUACGCCCGCAAGGGUGAAACUCAAAGGAAUUGACGGGGGCCCGGCACAAGCGGAGGAGCAUGUGGUUUAAAUUCGAUGAUACGCGAGGAACCUUACCAGGGCUUGAAAGUUAAGGAAUGAUUAUGAAAGUAGUCAGUCAGCAAUGACCUAAAACCUAGGUGCUGCAUGGCUGUCGUCAGCCUGUCGCGUGA
rnacentral:rRNA from 1 species